rnacentral:rRNA from 1 species
AUUGAACGCUGGCGGCAGGCUUAACACAUGCAAGUCGAACGAGUGGCGGACGGGUGAGUAAUGCUUGGGAAUCUAGCUUAUGGAGGGGGAUAACUACGGGAAACUGUAGCUAAUACCGCGUACCAUAGGAUGAGCCCAGGUGGGAUUGGGUAGUUGGUGAGGUAAAGGCUCACCAAGCCGACGAACUCUAGCUGGUCUGAGAGGAUGACCAACCACACUGGUGCUGGGACACGGCCCAGACGCCUACGGGAGGCAUCAUUGGGGAAUAUUGCACAGUGGGCGCAAGCCUGAUGCAGCCAUGCCGCGUGUAUGAAGAAGGCCUUCGGGUUGUAAAGUACUUUCAGUCGGGAGGCGUUACCGACAGAAGAAGCACCGGCUAACUCCGUGCCAGCAGCCGCGGUAAUUC